rnacentral:rRNA from 1 species
GGAGGGAUCAUUACCGAGUUUACAACUCCCAAACCCCUGUGAACAUACCUAUACGUUGCCUCGGCGGAUCAGCCCGCGCCCCGUAAAACGGGACGGCCCGCCCGAGGACCCUAAACUCUGUUUUUAGUGGAACUUCUGAGUAAAACAAACAAAUAAAUCAAAACUUUCAACAACGGAUCUCUUGGUUCUGGCAUCGAUGAAGAACGCAGCAAAAUGCGAUAAGUAAUGUGAAUUGCAGAAUUCAGUGAAUCAUCGAAUCUUUGAACGCACAUUGCGCCCGCCAGUAUUCUGGCGGGCAUGCCUGUUCGAGCGUCAUUUCAACCCUCAAGCUCUGCUUGGUGUUGGGACUCGCGGUAACCCGCGUUCCCCAAAUCGAUUGGCGGUCACGUCGAGCUUCCAUAGCGUAGUAAUCAUACACCUCGUUACUGGUAAUCGUCGCGGCCACGCCGUAAAACCCCAACUUCUGAAUGUUGACCUCGGAUCAGGUAGG